UUCGGUGGUUAUAGCGUUAGGGAAACGCCCGGUUACAUUCCGAACCCGGAAGCUAAGCCUUUCAGCGCCGAUGGUACUGCAGGGGGGACCCUGUGGG
rnacentral:rRNA from 1 species